CGGGGGCGGGAGCGGGACACCGCGCUGCACCGAAUCAGCUGGAGCAUCACCCAGCCUUCUCUCCUGAUUUGGGAAGAGAUAAUGCAAGGGACCCUGAGGAAGGUGAAGAAGGAGGUGCAAAGAGGAGGUAAAUAGCCUCUUGGAAACCAUCCUAAGUCAGCAAGACUGAAGCAGCAUCUGAUAUAAUAAGUUAAUACUUCCAGCCUAAGAAUUCAGAGAAAAAAAAAAAUUAGAAGAAGAAAAAAGUGGCUUUCACAAGUAAUGGGAUCAAGCUGAUAGGUCCAGUGAUGGUGCAUUGUACUCAUGGAUAUAAUCAAAUACUGCAGAGGGUUGUAAGUCCAAUA
rnacentral:lncRNA from 1 species